rnacentral:rRNA from 1 species
GACGAACGCUGGCGGCGUGCCUAAUACAUGCGAGUAGAACGCUGAAGGGGGAGCUUGCUUCUCUGGAUGAGUUGCGAACGGGUGAGUAACGCGUAGGUAACCUGCCUGGUAGCGGGGGAUAACUAUUGGAAACGAUAGCUAAUACCGCAUAAUAGUAGAUGUUGCAUGACAUUUGCUUAAAAGGUGCAAUUGCAUCACUACCAGAUGGACCUGCGUUGUAUUAGCUAGUUGGUGGGGUAACGGCUCACCAAGGCGACGAUACAUAGCCGACCUGAGAGGGUGAUCGGACACACUGGGACUGAGACACGGCCCAGCCUCCUACGGGAGGCAGCAGUAGGGAAUCUUCGGCAAUGGACGGAAGUCUGACCGAGCAACGCCGCGUGAGUGAAGAAGGUUUUCGGAUCGUAAAGCUCUGUUGUAAGAGAAGAACGAGUGUGAGAGUGGAAAGUUCACACUGUGACGGUAUCUUACCAGAAAGGGACGGCUAACUACGUG